AGUACCCAAACUGGUCAAGGUUCCUGUAAAGAGAAGACCAAACUUCAGGCAAGAAUAGAGUUUGGAGAUGGACUUGCUUACCCGUCUAAAGGAUGUGGAAUUGGAGAAUAAGUGAGCUAAUCUUGGAAGAAUUUUGCAGAAAAACAGGACAUUUCUCCAUGGAUCCAGAGGAAGUGGUAACUGAGCAAGACUUCAUAGGCUCUUAAGAGACAUUUUCCCCCAUGGGAAAGAAAACAAGGACAAACCAGCUAAAUGGUCUACACCCACUGCUCAUGGGGAUCGUCAGGAAGAUUCCUACAGAGGACUCUCAUUAGUCCCAUGUUAGGGAAAUGGCAAGAAUAUGGGGUCCUACUGGGUUUGAGCUCUAUAGGGAUCUGGCUUCUUCAUGGGUAUUCCUAGUGGAUGGCCUCAAGUCUACAAUAGAGACUGCUUGGCUGUCUGCAGUGGAAAAGACCUUCAAGUUGACUGUGAGUGGGUGCGACUCAUCAAGAAAAAUAACCUCACCACCACAACAACACAUGAUGGGAGAGACCGAAACUUCUUUGGGAGAACAUAAGGGGAAAAAAAAAAGAAAAAG
rnacentral:lncRNA from 1 species